rnacentral:lncRNA from 1 species
AUGGGAGUUGCUACCAAAAUCUUUCGUUCGCACGUUCAAGGCAGCAAAAAAGCAAAAGCAACAGCCACAUCAAGAAGCGCAACAAGAAGGCCAAGAACAGUACGGUACAGUAAGGACUGCCUGUGCGGAAUGUUGUGUAAAAAUAAAUACGCCUAAUUGGAACUGCCCUGCAAGCCUCACUGUACUUCAGCCCAAAGGAGAUGGCGUUUGGCGAGCAGGGAGCAAGUGGAGGAGACCCGGGGAGCUGUAGACACCGAAACCGAAACAGUAACAUCCUGGCGGAAAAGUACUCACAUACAUAUGUACAUGUGUACUUGCGCGACGAGUCUAAUACCAAUAAUCCUUU